UUUUCAGUACGAAUACGAACCGUGAAA
rnacentral:snRNA from 1 species